rnacentral:tRNA from 1 species
CUGAAAAUGUAGCUCAGUGGUAGAGUGUUUGCCUAACAUGUGCAAGACCCUGGGUUUGAUCCUCAGUUCUUGGA